rnacentral:lncRNA from 10 species
UGAGGCAGGAGAAUCACUUGAACCCAGGAGGUGGAAGUUUCAGUGAGCCGAGAUCGCGCCACUGCACUCCAGCCUGGGCGACAGAGCGAGACUCCAUCUCAAAAAGAAUAAAUACAUAAAAUAAAUAAAUAAAUAAAUAACCACAAAUUUUUAAUUAAAAAAAUACAGUCCACAAGGUGAGUUUAGGUGAUAUGUGGUUGAAUUGGUUUUAAGAUUAUUACAGCCGGACAUGGUGACUUACACCUGUAAUCCCAACACUUUGGGGAAGCCAAGGCAGAAGGUUGCUUGAGGUCAGGACCCUGUCUCUACAAGAGUAUCUUAAAAAUUAUCCAGGUGUGUUGGGGCAUGCCUGUAGUUCCAGCUACUUGGGAGGCUGAGGUGAGAGGAUUGCUUGAGCUCAGGAGUUCAAGGCUACAGUGAGCUAUGAUUACGCCACUGCACACCAGCCCGGGCAACAGUGAGAUCCUGUCUCUAACAUAAAUAAAUAUACAAAAUUUAAAAAAUAAAAUUAUCAUUACUUCAACAAUAUAUUGAUCCAAAUAUAAGUCAGGACAAAAUUAAUAAACUCAUCAAAUUCAUGAUUUCACAGAAAUUAUGCCCUGUGACUAGGCUAAGUUUUAAAAGGAAUUGAUUUAAAGGAAAAUAUUAAAUGGAUAAUAGUUUAAAUAGCAAAAAUCUGGAAAGUGAUACAUGAAUGGCUGAAACUUUAGAAACAGUACUGGAGGACCCUUGGUCAGUGGCAGUAAAUAGUGGCCUCUGGCCAUGCUGGUUUGCAAACACAGGGUGAUUCCUGAGGUGGCCCCUCCUAUCUGGUCCCUCUAGGGCAGGGGUUCCCAAACCCCAGGCCACCUGGCAGGAGGUCAGUGUCCAGCUAGCGAUCAUUAUCGCCUGAGCUCCACCUCCUCUCAGAUCAGCAGCCGCAUUAGAUUCUGAUAGGAGCAAGAACCCUAUUGUGAACCGCACUUGUGAGGGAUCUAGGUUGUGCGCUCCUUAUGAGAAUCGAAUGCCUGAUGAAACUGCCCCCCACCCCCUGACCCCCAGGUCCAUGGAAAAAGUGUUUUCCAUGAAACUGGUCCCUCGUGCCAAAAAGGUUGGGGAUCACUGCUCUAGGGGUCAUGCAGCUCUCGGCCCUGGUGUGGUGUGUGUGUGUGUGUGUGUGUGUGUGAAGGAGGAAAGGCAGGCCUCAGAAGUGUGAGCUGUAGCCCCUGGAGUCAGCUCUGACGAGGUCUUGAAGCUCCCCACUUGGCCUUUGUGGGUGCCCUUCCGCUCUCAGUUUUAGCUCCUUGUUUUAGGUCCUGGUUCCUAUUCUCCUCUGUCCAGCUCAGUUUCAGCCUUGCUCAUUGUCUGAGGAGCCAUCUGACCGGAGGGAGACUCUGGGGCUCCCUGAGGAGGCAGCUAUACUCUGGGGCCCUCCCUCCUGGGCCUCCAGGCCUGGCCAAGGGGGCCAGUUCCAUGCAGCUGAGCAUCGGGCCUGGCAGCCUGCGAGCUUCUUGGGCGCAAGGGACUGAAAGAGGUCACAGAGCCAGGGCCCUUGCCAGCUGACCCUGCGGUCUGGGGUCAGCUCCAGAAGAGGAGGCCAUCAUGGAGGCCGAGUACACACACUCUAAGGCCUGACACAAAAGGGCCUGUGGGGCAGUGUGUUCCCUCUCAGGAGGAAGCCCUGUGGUGGGGGAAGGGUUUGGAGGGACUUCCAUCUACCUGCAGCCCCCUUACUACACUAGCACUUGGGGCGGCCCAGCCCACCUUAAAUUACUCAUGGCCCAUUCACUCACUCAGUAGGAUUUGGAUCCUGAAUAAUCAUGAUCAUAUAUAUAGAUAAACUUUUUUUUGUUUUGAGGCAGGGUCUUGCUCUGUCAUCCAGGCUGGGGUGCAGUUGACACAAUCUCCGGUCACUGUGGCCUCAACUUCCUGGGCUCAAGCAAUCCUCCUACUUCAACCUCCGGAGUAGCUGGGACUAUAGGCAUGCACCACCACACCUGGCUAAUUUUUUUUACUUUUUGCAGAGAUGGGGUUGCCCAGGCCAGUUUCAAACUCCUGGGCUCAAGCAAUCCUCCUGCCUCGGCCUCUCAAAGUGUUGGGAUUACAGGCGUGAACCACCACACCUGGCCUAAUAAACAUUUUUGAGGUGUGUCUUCCCAUACCUCUGGGCUGAGUGCUCUUCACAGAGGAUUUUAUUUAAUCUUCACAACAGCACUGGGGGGUGUGUUCUGUUAUUAUCCCCACUUAACAGAUGAUAAAGUGAGUCUCAAAGAAGUGAACCAUCUUGCUUAAGGCCAGAUGUAGGACAUGGGGGAGCUAGGAUUCAACCCCAGAAGUGUUUGAUUCUGAAACUGUGCUAUUUCUCCCAUCCACGUGAAGGGGAGUUCACCAUUGGAAAAGAAAGUCAGUCCUUCGACCUAGACUUGAUCCCCAAUUUACAUAGAAAUAGUUAUUUUCUGGCCAGGCAUGGUGGCUCAUGCCUGUAAUCCCAGCACUUUUGGAGGCGAGGUGGGUGGAUCACGAGGUCAGGAGAUUGAGACCAUCCUGGCCAACAUGGUGAAGCCAGAUGUGGUGGUGCGUGCCUGUAGUCCCAGCUACUGGGGAGGCUGAGGCAGGGGAAUCACUUGAACCCAGGAGGUAGAGGUUGCAGUGAGCUGAGAUCACGCCACUGCACUCUAGCCUGGUGACAGAGCAAGACGCCAUCUCAAAAAAAAAAAAAAAAAAGAAAUAGUUAUUUCUAUUUACAUGGCUUAGCCUACUGCGAAAAGCUAUCCUUGAAGGAUUAUCAGUCACCUAUACCUGAGUGUGAGGGAGUUUUUGAUCCUUGUGACCUUGUACCACAAAUAUUUUCUCAUUUACCAUCUCAUUUAGUGCCUGCCAACUAAGAGCAGAUAUCAUUGUCCUCAUUUUACAGCUGGGGAGACUGAAACUCAAGGAGGUAUGGUGAUGGGUUCUCAACCACACCUGUGGGCAGUCCCCUGGCCAGCAUCCCAACCAACUCCGCUUUGGGUCAGCCACUCUGUCCUCAACACCAGCUUCUUUCUCAUGGCCUUUCUCCCAGAGCACAUCUCCAUAGAAGGGAGGGGAGCCAGCAGGGGGACCCAAGGCCCCGGGAGAAGUGGCUGAAAGAGAGAAGAGAAACUAUAUGGACAUUCGCCUGGAGUCCU